rnacentral:siRNA from 1 species
UAACGGCGUGCCUCGGCAUCA